UACGUAGGGGGCUAGCGUUGUCCGGAAUCAUUGGGCGUAAAGAGCGUGUAGGCGGUCCGGUAAGUCCGCUGUGAAAGUCGGGGGCUCAACCCUCGAAUGCCGGUGGAUACUGUCGGGCUAGAGUGCGGAAGAGGCGAGUGGAAUUCCUGGUGUAGCGGUGAAAUGCGCAGAUAUCAGGAGAAACACCUAUUGCGAAGGCAGCUCGCUGGGACGUAACUGACGCUGAGACGCGAAAGCGUGGGGAGCAAACAGG
rnacentral:rRNA from 1 species